UACGUAGGGUGCAAGCGUUAUCCGGAAUUAUUGGGCGUAAAGGGUGCGUAGAUGGCCUGAUAAGUUAGCAGUGGGAAAUCGAGGCUCAACCUCGUGGAAGCUGGUAAUACUGUCAGGCUCGAGUGCAGGAGAGGUUAACGGAACUCCAUGUGGAGCGGUAAAAUGUGUAGAUAUUCGGAAGAACACCAGUGGCGAAGGCAGCGAAUUGGCGCUUUAUUGACGCUCAGGCACGAAAGCAUGGGGAUCAAACAGG
rnacentral:rRNA from 1 species